AUGGAGGGGUUUGGCAGGGAUUACACCCUCUACAAGUCAAAACCUCCUCCGAUCCACCCCAAUCCCCCUAUGAGGAGGUGUAACCGAACAAAGCCUAAAGAAGAAGAAGAUGUUCAACAAAGAAGAAGGGGAGGUAAUCUUGGAGCGAGACCGCCACAACAACGUGUUGUUCAACGUACUUCAAGAAGGACGAUUUAUGUUGAAACUUCUGAAGGUGAAGAAUAUGAUGAUACCCUUAAAGAACCUGAUCUCUAUGCAUAUCGGAGAGUACCCAGCCCUGCAUAUGCAAGGGAUACAUACAAGGUGAAAGCUGAGAUCCCAACUUUUAAUGGAAAUGUUGACAUUGAAGGGCGCCUUGAUUGGUUAUAUGAAGAGGAGACUUUCUUUGAGGCCAUGGAGGUUCGGAAGAUCGUACAGUUCCUUUGGUCGCGUACAAGCUAA
rnacentral:rRNA from 1 species